GGAUCGUGGAAUAGAUUUUAAUUUUAGAAGAUGCUCAUUGAAGGCCCGGAAGACGCAAAUUGAAUUGUUGAGUAUAAGAAGAAAGAUAUCCUGGGUUGACUUGGACCUUAAUGAAGAUUAAUUAUAACUCUUAACUUCCUUUUUGAGGAGCUCAAAUUGAGUAUCAGUAUGCCUCAAACCAUUUAGUGUGUCGUGAUUCAUUAACUUUCUCAUUCGUAAUGUACUUAUUCGUCUUAUCCCUUAAUGAAGACGAACUUAGAACUCAAAGAAAUCAUACCUGGAUCAGUUUCAUCAAAUUCAUUUAUGGGAAGAUACUCACAUCAUACAUGUAUCGCUAUUGGAGAUAAUUGUCUUAUGAACAACCUGCAUACUACGUACAAAAUCUACAAUCCAUCAAUCUCUAAUUAUAAUAAAUAAACAAUUUAAUCAAUAAAUUGAUAAUUGUCAAUUUUAA
rnacentral:lncRNA from 1 species